rnacentral:rRNA from 1 species
CGUAGGGUGCGAGCGUUAAUCGGAAUUACUGGGCGUAAAGCGUGCGCAGGCGGUUUUGUAAGACAGAUGUGAAAUCCCCGGGCUCAACCUGGGACCUGCAUUCGUGACUGCAAGGCUAGAGUACGGUAGAGGGGGAUGGAAUUCCGCGUGUAGCAGUGAAAUGCGUAGAUAUGCGGAGGAACACCGAUGGCGAAGGCAAUCCCCUGGACCUGUACUGACGCUCAUGCACGAAAGCGUGGGGAGCAAACAGGAUUAGAUACCCUGGUAGUCCACGCCCUAAACGAUGUCAACUGGUUGUUGGGUCUUCACUGACUCAGUAACGAAGCUAACGCGUGAAGUUGACCGCCUGGGGAGUACGGCCGCAAGGUUG